CUACUAGGGUAUCUAAUCCUGUUUGCUCCCCACGCUUUCGAACCUCAGCGUCAAUACCUGUCCAGUCAGUCGCCUUCGCCACUGGUGUUCUUCCGAAUAUCUACGAAUUUCACCUCUACACUCGGAAUUCCACUGACCUCUCCAGGAUUCUAGCCAUCCAGUUUCAAGGGCAGUUCCGGGGUUGAGCCCCGGGAUUUCACCCCUGACUUGAAAAGCCGCCUACGUUCGCUUUACGCCCAGUAUUUCCGAACAACGCUAGCUCCCUCCGUAUUACCGCGGCUGCUGGCAC
rnacentral:rRNA from 1 species